CCCUGGGUAAAACCGAAGUCCUGCUGCAGUCUGGAAGCCAGAAGUUUCUGCUAGUUGAAGAGGAGGGAUUUAAGAGGCUUGCGGAGUUUUGCUCCCGGCUGAAAUGGCUCGUAAGUCCGGGAUUUGUCGUAGGAAGUGGCUGAUAAUGGAAUGGGUGUGGAGCUUCUGUUACGUGUGGCAUAGGGUUGUAUCUGUCAGUCAGUAGGGGAACCUGCCAGACUAAUCAAGGUGGAAACCAACGUGAAUUGUCUCGCCAAAAGAAUCUCAAAAAAACACAAGAUUCAGGCAAAGGCAAGCGAAAGGAUGAUAACUUAUCAGCUGCACAAAGAAAACAAAGAGAUUCCGAGAUAAUGCAGCAGAAACAGAAAGCGGCAAACGAAAGGAAAUCCGAGCCGGAAGCAAGCAAGUAAGAUGGGCAGUAGCAAAUGCUUUACACCUACAAUCCAUGGAUCCCAUGCAACUGCAGAGAAGACCAGUCAUGCCGACAUAUCGUGACUUUCUUUCCCUUCAAAAUUCAUGUGCAAUUUUAGUUCUUAAAUUAAUAACAAAAUCAGAAGUUGUAUUUUCGUGGAUAGAUAGUGCAUGUAUAUAUAUAUAUAUAUUUUUUUUUUUUUUUAAUCCUGAAAGGAUGGUGCUAAAAACAGAUGUAGUAAUCUGCUGUAAAUAAUACAUUUUUUUAAUAAAACAAAGCUAAGCUUGAA